GGAGGUGACGGAGAGGCUGGCUUCAGUCGAUGACAUGAACUUAUGGGAUGCCACCAAAGUUCCUCUCAUCUCCGAUUCAUUGCAUGACCCAUCAUCGUCCAACUCCUGCAAAAGCUCACUAAACCCCAAAAGAGUCAUUCUGACACAGGAUUUAACACAAUCACCCCCAGAAUCGUGAAAACACCACACCGGAGACCCUCGCCGUUCAUGUCACAAAUGCUUUUUGUCGUCAGGCUCUGUGUGACUCCCUCGCGCUGGUUGCUAAGCAACCUCGGCUGCAUUAAUAUGCGUGGUGGAAGGGGAGCAGGGUAUACCUCUCGCCUCUGGAGUGAAAGUAACCACAACAGUGUCAGUGAAAGGCUACUGGCUCCCUCAAAGAGCCCCCCCCUUACUUAUAGCCAUCCAGCCUUCACACUCGCCCCAGAUAGUUUGGGAAUCACAGUCAGGUAGGAAAAUCAGGUUCUGUGGAGUUCCCACUCUGGCUGCUCCCUUUUUGAAAUGAAACACACAAAAUAAGAAAAAAACUAACGACAGUUGAGACCUAUUAAAGUUUAAAACGCUUUGAGGAUUUGAUAAAGCUGAGAGGAGGCAAAGAAAACACAAAAUCUGAUGCUUUUUUUUUUUUUUUUUGGAGAGCGUUGUGAAAUAAAAGACAAAAGGAGACGGAAAUAUUCCCAUGAAACAGCUUUGUUACCCUCCCACCCCCAUCUGCCCAUCAACUGACUCCAUUCUUCAACUUGACAUCAUCCUUCCACGCAGACAAGAAGAAGAAGAGGAAGAAGAGAGAGCAGCAGAGGUGGGGGAGCAAAUAGAUGAAACAAGGGGAGGAAGAGCAGAGAGGAGGUGGGCAGCACAGUUUCAGCUCUCACAAAGCUGAGGAGGGGAAAGUGACAGCAGCUAAAACUUGGCAACUAGUGAGAUGAAAUUCGUGGGGGAGACGCUGGAGCUCCGUGGGAGAGGGCGUCCAACAGGAACGUUAAAUUUGGAUCUCCUGGAAGACGAGUUGCUCCCCUCUGGAUCUCCUCCACAGCUGAAGGAUGAGAGGGGGAGACUUUCAUCUUAGUUACCAGGGAUGUUUGAGCUCCAUGGGAAGGCGCCUCCUCCCUACAUCUUCAGUGCUACGUUACUCCUGAUGCUUUACAAAACUGGCCUGAGACGAAAACUGUAGAAUUUUCCAGGGAAAAUGGUAAACACUGUCUACAGUGAUGAAGAAAAGGGAAUCCAAGACAAGGAAAGUAAGGAGGAGAGCAUUCUGGCCAUGCUGGGCAUCAUUGGGACCAUCCUCAACUUGGUAGUGAUAAUCUUUGUCUACAUCUACACAACUUUGUAAACUAACUUCUGGUAGAGUGUGCACAGCGGAGGACUCUCGAGACUCCAAGUUCCAAUGAGAACUCUUCCUGUGAUAAACAUGGAUGGAACCAGGAUGAUGCUGACCUUUCCAAGUGGCAACAAGCAUCUAAAACGGUGUGUCCGGCUGCACUCUGAACUGUGGAGACGAUGGAAAACUGUCCUGCUCCGUUUGGAUUUUCUGGUAGAAUUGUACAGAAUAUUCUAUCCCUACUGACUUUUCCUCAAAGCAAGCAAAAAAAACACAUAAAAAUGUGUAAUUUUUAUCGAAAUGUGGAAUUAAACGUCUGAUCUGGCGAUUUAUAAACAGAAAAAUGAAACAGAUUGGCUUUCAUUUGAAUAAUGAUGAAGAAAACAGCAAAUGUACAUUUUUUUAAAUUGUUUUUAACCUUUACAAAUAUCUAUUUAGACAGCAUUUAAAGAAAUGUGACACAAAUGUUUUAUUUGGCAUGGUUUAAUGGUUUGUAUCACAAAUAAUCCAAUUUUAGAAAAAGUUGUAAAACUUUAUAAAAAAUAAAGUAAAAUAAAAAAAA